rnacentral:rRNA from 1 species
AGGGCACCACCAGGGGUGGAGCCUGCGGCUUAAUUUGACUCAACACGGGAAAUCUCACCAGGCCCGGACACCGGUAGGAUUGACAGAUUGAUAGCUCUUUCUCGAUUUUGUGGGUGGUGGUGCAUGGCCGUUCUUAGUUGGUGGAGCGAUUUGUCUGGUUAAUUCCGAUAACGAACGAGACUCUAGCCUAUUAAAUAGACGCAAUAUUUGUUUGUAUUACGUCCUUCUUAGAGGGACAAGCAGCUCCUAGCUGCACGAGAUUGAGCAAUAACAGGUCUGUGAUGCCCUUAGAUGUCUGGGGCUGCACGCGCGCUACAAUGAAGGUAGCAAAGUGCUUAGAAUCCAUGUCUGAAAAGACUUGGUAAUCACGAAUUAUUUUCGUGCUUGGGAUAGGGGAUUGCAAUUAUUUCCCUUGAACGAGGAAUUUCUAGUAAGUGUGAGUCAUAAGCUCACGUUGAUUACGUCCCUGCCCUUUGUACACACCGCCCGUCGCUACUACCGAUUGGAAGGUUCAGUGAA